rnacentral:rRNA from 1 species
UGGGGAAUAUUGCACAAUGGGCGAAAGCCUGAUGCAGCAACGCCGCGUGAGUGAUGAAGGUCUUCGGAUUGUAAAGCUCUGUCUUUUGGGACGAUAAUGACGGUACCAAAGGAGGAAGCCACGGCUAACUACGUGCCAGCAGCCGCGGUAAUACGUAGGUGGCGAGCGUUGUCCGGAUUUACUGGGCGUAAAGGGUGCGUAGGCGGAUGUUUAAGUGAGAUGUGAAAUACCCGGGCUUAACUUGGGUGCUGCAUUUCAAACUGGAUAUCUAGAGUGCAGGAGAGGAGAAUGGAAUUCCUAGUGUAGCGGUGAAAUACGUAGAGAUUAGGAAGAACACCAGUGGCGAAGGCGAUUCUCUGGACUGUAACUGACGCUGAGGCACGAAAGCGUGGGUAGCAAACAGGAUUAGAUACCCUGGUAGUCCACGCCGUAAAACGAUGAGUACUAGGUGUAGGAGGUAUCGACCCCUUCUGUGCCGCAGUAAACACAUUAAGUACUCCGCCUGGGAAGUACGAUCGCAAGAUUAAAACUCUAAAGUGAAUUGAC